rnacentral:rRNA from 1 species
UACAGAGGGUGCAAGCGUUAAUCGGAAUUAUUGGGCGUAAAGCGCGUGUAGGCGGCCAGAUAAGUCCGCUGUGAAAUCUCGAGGCUCAACUUCGAGCUGUCGGUGGAAACUGUCUGGCUAGAGUCCGGAAGAGGAGAAUGGAAUUCCUGGUGUAGCGGUGAAAUGCGCAGAUAUCAGGAAGAACACCCGUGGCGAAGGCGGUUCUCUGGGACGGUACUGACGCUGAGACGCGAAAGCGUGGGGAGCGAACAGG